rnacentral:lncRNA from 1 species
GAGGGUUCCCGGUCUGCGGAGCCCUGGGCUCGGCGUGUCGCCCUCAGAGGCACAAGUUUGUUGACUUGGAGGAGUAGCUGGGGCCGGGGCGGUGCUAAUAAUACCCAUUCGUUCUGCGGCGCGCUUUGCAGUUUACACAGCUGUCACCUUCGUUCCUCCUUAAUUAAUAAUAAAAAUAGUCCGGGAGCACCCGCUGGGUGCCAGGCCCUGUGCCGAGUGCUUUACAAGCAGAGUCCCAUCGAGUCUGCCCUCAUAACAUUAGCCCCACUUUGCAGAGCGGGAAGCACAGCCUCCGAAAGGCGCAGAAGCUCGCCGGAGGUCACUCGGCGGGUGAGCGGCUCCGGGACCCGGACGCGGGCCCAGCGAGGCGGGG